CCAUCUUGCGGAGGGCUCCCCGGCUCUUCCCCUCUGAGAUUUGGAAGUGCGAGCGUAACAUCAAACAGGGUUGCUGAUUUCCAACAGGAUUUGUGUGGUGAUUAUCCAAUAUUUAUCUUCUCUUUUCACCGGGAGCACACGCCACAUGAACUUGGGCAACUUUCAGAAGCAAAGGAUUCAUUUGCACGCUCUGGAAUUAGUGCCAAGAUGAAAGAGAAGAAAGUGGGAAAAUCAGCGGUCAACUCACUUGAUGCAGCGCAAGUAAAGGUGGCAGCGUGCCACGGGCACUCGCACCACGCAGGACGGGAAGGCCAGGAUGAGAGUGUGACUCGCGCCAUCCAGAGUCAGCGACAACAGCUGCCUGGCCUGCGGAGAGUCGCCAGCGCACCUGCAACAACAACACACAGACGCACGAGGUCAUCUUGAACCUUUCAAAACGUUGCCGAUCCAACGAAAUAACGUGAGGAUGCCUGCUUUUCGUCGGACAGCAAGAACUUCAGGAGUUGCAGAGAUGAAUUCCAUAAGAAGCUUUUGGCCAUUGAAAUUGAACCCACCCCAAGUUGCAAGCGAAAUAUAACAUUUGCAAAGAGCAAAUGUUCAAACUGUGCUGGUGUAACUGCACCAACUCAUAUGAGCGUGUCAAAAAUGAAGCUGCAAGGUGGGCGGCAGAUAACGCGCCAGACAAACAACAAUAAAGAAUUGCCUCUCAAUGGGAAACAUGUCACAUCUUGUAAAGGUGAAUUAUAAGAACAAUAUGUUGUGGCUUUGCUGAAGGGCGAGUGUGGGGGGGGGGGGGGGGGGGCUUUGGCUCUUUGCUACAAUAAGUGACUUCCUGUGAAGUCCUCUCUGUGAUGUUGCCAGGCAACUAGCGAUGAGAAAAUCAGCAACGUUAUACGUGCAAAAAUAAGGAAAGCGUUUCUUACACUGGGGGCUCCGAUUCUUUUUAUGAGAACCAUCAAAAGAAAAAUGUUUUCCGAGUCGUGAGCCGUCACUUAGUCGAUUUAUUGUGUUGUUGCGAGCCGAAAUUGGAGGGUUCGGUCCGAGCGAGCUUCAGAUACGCCA